AAAGGGUGCGUAGGCGGCUUGUUAAGUCAGAGGUGAAAGGCGGUAGCUUAACUAUCGGAGUGCCUUUGAUACUGAUGAGCUUGAAUGCAGCUGAGGUAGGCGGAAUGUGACAAGUAGCGGUGAAAUGCAUAGAUAUGUCACAGAACACCGAUUGCGAAGGCAGCUUACUAAAGUGUGAUUGACGCUGAGGCACGAAAGCGUGGGGAUCAAACAGGAUUAGAUACCCUUGU
rnacentral:rRNA from 1 species